ensembl:lncRNA
UGAAUUUGCUUAGGCAUUAAUCAUACAAACACAUUUAUUUUUCAAUGUGGCAUCUUCUGUUCUCUAUCAGAGCAUGUGAGUGGAAUUGAGUGCCAAAAAACACUCCUCUGGGAAAAAAAACUGCAAAUCUAAAUUCGCUCCAUUCAUUAAAAUCACAAAAACACAUCUAUUUUUAGUGACUACCUGGACCUACCAUUUGGUUUUGACAUAUCAAAGCCAAACCAUAUGAUUGGAAUGAAAAGUAUUUUAGUAAACAACAUGAAAAGGUGACUGUAAGAAGCGCUCAUCAUUUCAAAUAGGCCACAUGUCAUAUUAAACAGCAUAUAACCACUCUAAAUAGGCCACAUGUCAUAUUAAACAGCAUAUAACCACUCUAAAUAGGCCACAUGUCAUAUUAAACUGCAUAUAACCACUCUAAAUAGGCCACAUGUCAUAUUAAACAGCAUAUAACCACUCUAAAUAGGUCACAUGUCAUAUUAAACAGCAUAUAACCACUCUAAAUAGGCCACAUGUCAUAU